ensembl:snoRNA Gm24615 small nucleolar RNA SNORA20
UUUCCCAUUAAUUUGCUGUUCUAGUCUGUCAGUGAUAGGAGCAGUUAUACACAUGGGAUAAAACAAUAUUGGGCCAUUGUACAUGGAGAUGAAGUGUGUUUUGUCCCUCCUACGUGGUCCAGACAUUG